rnacentral:misc_RNA from 1 species
UAUGAUAGCAGAACUAAGUUUCCAUCAGUAUUGGCUCAAGAGUCUGGUGUCGUAUGAUGGUCAAAUUGUUAGGAGCAUCAAUCAAAGAUAAAACCUCUGUUUGGUAUUUGCUAAAACAAGGAUGGAAAUUGGCAACUUGGAGAAAAAUGACCUUUUGGAAAGUUACCGGUUUCAAAAAGAAAAAAGAAGAGAAAAAUGACCUUUUGGGCAUGCAUGUCGACAAGUCUGUUCCACAAUCAAAAUUAUGACCACCAGACAACUAAUACUCUCUGUACCUAUUUGGAUAUGCAAUAAUAACUCUAACUUGCCAUUAUCUUCACUUUUUCUUUUUCUUUUUAUCAAAGAAGAAA